UACGAAGGGGGCUAGCGUUGUUCGGAAUUACUGGGCGUAAAGCGUGCGCAGGCGGUCUUCCAAGUCAGUGGUGAAAGCCCGGAGCUCAACUCCGGAACUGCCAUUGAAACUGUGAGGCUUGAGGACGAGAGAGGUGAGUGGAAUUCCCAGUGUAGAGGUGAAAUUCGUAGAUAUUGGGAAGAACACCGGUGGCGAAAGCGGCUCACUGGCUCGUUUCUGACGCUCAUGCACGACAGCGUGGGGAUCAAACAGG
rnacentral:rRNA from 1 species